UAAUGUCUGGGAAACUGCCUGAUGAGGGGGAGUAACUACUGAAACGGUAGCUAAUACCGCAUAAUGUCGCAAGACCAAAUGGGGGACCUUCGGGCCUCAUGCCAUCAGAUGUGCCCAGAUGGGAUUAGCUAGUAGGUGGGGUAACGGCUCACCUAGGCGACGAUCCCUAGCUGGUCUGAGAGGAUGACCAGCCACACUGGAACUGAGACACGGUCCAG
rnacentral:rRNA from 1 species